UCCAAGUGUGUGAGGUGUGUGGGGUUAUGUCUGGGUCUUUGAUUGGAUUCCAUUGUUCAACCUGUUUGUCUUUGUGCCAAUACUAUGAGGUUUUUAUUACCAUUGCUCUGUAGUGUAGCUUGAGAUCAGACAUGGUGAUACCUCCAGAAGUUCUUUUGUUGAACAGGAUUGUUUUCAUGAUCCUGUUUUUUUGCUUUUCCAUAUGAAGUUGAGAAUUGCUCUUUCAAGGUCUGUAAAGAAUUGUGAUGGGAUUUUGAUGGGAAUUGCAUUGAAUCUGUAGGUUACCUUUGGUAAGAUAGCCAUUUUUACUAUGCUAAUCCUACUGAUCCAUGAUCAUGAGAGAUCUUUCCAUCUUCUGAUAUCAUCCUCAAUUUCUUUCUUCAGAGAGUUGAAGUUUUUGUCAUACAAGUCUUUCACUUGCUUGGUUGGAGUCACACCAAGAUGUUUUAUGUUAUUUGUUGCUAUUGUAAAAGGUGUUGUUUUCCCAAUUUCUUUCUCAGACUGUUUAUCAUUUGUAUAAAGGAGAGCUCCUGAUUUUUUGAGUUAAUUUUGUAUCUAGCCACUCUGCUGAAGGUGUUUAUCAGCUGUAGGAGUUCUCUGGUAGAAUUUUUGGGGUUGCUUAUGUAUACUAUUCUUUCAUCUUCAAAUAGUGAUACUUUGACUUCUCCCUUUCCAAUUUGUAUUUCCUUGAUCUCCUUUAGUUGUCUUAUUAUUCUAGUUAGAACGUCAAGAACUAUGUUGAAUAGAUAUGGAGAGAGUAGGCAGCCUUAUCUUGUCCUUGAUUUUAGAGGAAUUGCUUUAAGUUUCUCUCCAUUUAAUUUGAUGUUGGCUUGCUGUAUAUUGCUUUUAUUAUAUUUAGGUAUGCACCUUGUAUUCCUGAUUUCUCCAAGACUUUAACAUGAAAGGAUGUCGGAUUUUGUCAAAGUUUUUUUUUAAAUCUCAUGAGAUGAUGACGUGAUUUUUUUCUUUCAGUUUGUUUAUAUUAUGGCUUGUGUAGAUUGAUUUUUGUAUAUUGAACCAGCCCUGCAUCCCUGAGAUGGAAUCUACUUGAUCAUGAUGUUUCUGAUGUGUUGUUAGAUUCAGUUUUCACGUAUUUUAUUGAGUAUUUUUGCAUCAAUGUUCAUAAAGGAAACUGGUCUGAAAUUUUCUUUCUUUAUUGAGGCUUCAUAUGGUUUGGGUACCAAGGUGACCAUGGCCUCAGAAUGAGUUUGGCAAUGUCCAGUCUGUGUGUCUAUUUUGUAGACUAGUUUGAGGAGUAUUGAUAUUAGCUCUUUUUUGAAAGUCUGGUAGAAUUCUGCCCUAAAAACAUCUGGCUCUGGGCUUUUUUGGUUGUGAGACUUUCACGGACUGUUUCUACUUCCUUAGUGGUUAUAGGACAAUAUAAAUAGUUUACCUGAUCUUGAUAUAACUUUAGUAAGUGGUAUCUAUCUAGAAAAUCAUCCAUUUCAUUUACAUUUUCCUAUUUUGUGGAGUACUUUUGAAGUAAGACCUAAUGAUUAUACGAAUGUCCUCAGUGUUGUUAUAGCUCCCUUUCAUUUCUGAUUUUGUUUCUUUGGAUGCUGUCACUCUGCUUUUUAGGUAGCUUGGCUAAGGGUUUGUUUGUUUAUCUUGUUGAUCUUCUCAAGGAACCAGCUCUUGCUUUCUUUGUUUCUUAGUAUUUUUUAUUUCUAAUUUAUUGACCUCAGUCCUGAGUUUGAUUGUUUCCUGAUAUCCUCUUCUCUUGGGUAUGGUUCUUCCUCUUCUUCUUCCUCUAUCUCCUCCUCCUCCUCCCCCUCCUCUCCCCCCUCUUCCUUCUCUAGAGCUUUCAGGUGUGUUUUAAAAUUGCUAGUAUGUGAACUCUCCAAUUUCUUUAUGCAGACACUUAGUGCUAUGAACUUUCCUCUUAGCACUGCUUUUAUUGCGCACCAUGUGUUUGUGGGUAUGUUGUACCUUCAUUUUCAUUGAAUUCUAGAAAGUCUUUAGUUUAUUUCUCUAUUCCCAGUAAUCAUUAGGUAGAGAAUUUUCAGUUUCCAUGAGUAUGUAGGGCUUUCUGUUGUUUCUGCUAUCAUUGAAGUCCAGCUUUAAUUCAUGAUGAUCUGAUAAGGAGGUAUUUCAAUGUUCUUGUAUCUGUUGAGGCUUUCUUUGUGACUGAUUAUAUUGUCAAUUUUGGAAAAGGUCUGCGAGGUGAUGAGAAGAAGGUAUAUUCUUUUGUGUUUGGGUGAAAGGUUCUGUAGAUAUCUGUUAGGUCCGUUUGAGUCAUAACCUCAGUUAGUCCCCUUAUUUCUCUGUUUCUGUCUCAAUGACCUGUCCAUUGGUGAGAAUGGGAUGUUGAAGUCUCCCACUAUUAAUGUGUGGGUUUAACGUGUGAUUUAAGCUUUAGUAAUGUUUCUUUUAUGAAUGUUCGUGUCCUUGCAUUUGGGGCAUAGAUGUUCAGAAUUGAAACACCAUCUUGAUGUUUUUUUUUCUUUCUUUGCUGGGUAUAAAGUGUCCAUAUUUUUUUAUUAAUUUUGGUUGAAAGACUAUUGUAUUAGAUAUUAGAAUGGCUACUCCAGCUUGCUUCUUGGGUUCUUUUGCUUGGAAAACUUUUUCCAGCCUUUUACUCUAAGGUAACUUCUAUCUUUUUUGCUGAGAUGUGUUUCUUGUAUGCAGCAGAAUGAUGGAUCCUGUUUUCAUAUUCAUUCUGUUAGCCUGUGUCUUUUCAUUAGGGAAUUAAGUUCAUUGAUAUUGAGAGAUAUUAAUGACCAAAGAUUGUUAAUUCCUGUUAUUUUGUUAGUGUUAGUGUCAGUGUGUGCUUCCCUUAUUUUGUUUAUGCUGGUGUGGAAUUAUUAAUUUCCUGUAUUUUCUUGGGUGUAGCUAGCUUCCUUGGGUUGGAAUUUUCUUUUUAAUAUUUUCUGUAGGGCUGUAUUUGUGGAUAGAUAUUGUUUAAAUUUGGUCUUGUCUUGGAAUAUCUCAUUUUCUCCAUCUAUGGUGAUUGAGAGUUUUGCUUGGUAUAGUAGCAUCUCUGGUUUCUUAGAGGCUGCAAGACAUCUGUCCAGGCCCUUCUAGCUUUUAGAGUCUCUGGUGAGAAGCCGAGGAUACACCCUCCCUUCCCCGAGACUGUACACAAGGCCUUGUGCAUGCUGAGCAUAUAUGCUUUAUUUUUAAGUUAUGUCUGCAGUCCAUAAGAUUGACUUUGCACUGCCCUUGUGUUCUGUGACUUUGUAAACUCCCAUGCUGGUUAUAAGAGAUCUUACUCUAGAUCCUUUGAGAAAGAGAGCUAGCCAGCAGGAAGAAAGCUUCCAGAUCAGUUUUAGCUUGGUUUCUCUAUGUCUGAUCUCCACCUGAGUGCUAUGACAUAUGUUACGUAUGUCUUCACACACACACACACACACACACACACACACACACACACACACACACACACACACACUAAAUAAGUGAAUAAAUAAAUACCCAUAAACAAACAACCAUAUAGAACACACACACACACACACACACACACACACACACACACACACACACUGAAUAAACACAUACCCACAAACAAACAUCCAUACAAGUAAGUAUCUAUACUGGAAAAAAAAAAGAUUCCAAAUCAGUAACCUAAUGUACUGGCUGGUUUUGUGUGUCAACUUGACACAGGGUGGAGUUACCACAGAGAAAGGAACUUUAGUUGGGGAAGUGCCUCCAUGAGAUUAUGGGGUAUUUUCUCAGUUGGUGAUCAAGGUGGGAGGGCUCAUUGUGGGUGUUGCCAUCUCUGGGCUGGUAGUCUUGGGUUCUAUAAGAGAGCAAGCUGAGCAGGCCAGAGGAAGCAAACCAAUAACAUCCCCCUAUGGCCUCUACAUCAGCUCCUGCUUCCUGACCUGCUUGAGUUCCGGUCCUGACUUCCUUUGGUGAUGAACAGCAGUAUGGAAGUGUAAGCUGAAUAAACCCUUCCUGCCCCAACUUGUGUCUUGGUCAUAAUGUUUGUGCAGGAAUAGAAACCCUGACUAAGACACCUAAGAUUUAAAGUUAGGAAAUUAGGGUAACAGCCGGGCAUGGUGGCGCACACCUUUAAUCCCAGCACUUGGGAGGCGGAGGCAGGCAGAUUUCUGAGUUCGAGGCCAGCCUGGUCUACAAAGUGAGUUCCAGGACCGCCAGGGCUAUACAGAGAAACCCUGUCUCGAAAAAACAAACAAACAAACAAACAAACAAACAAACAAAAACAAAACAAAACAAAAACAAGAAAAAACCCCCAAAGAAAUUAGGGUAACAUUAACAGAUAACCCAAAGCAAGCAGAAGAAAAUAACAAAGAAUUGAGUAGAAAUCACUGAUAAGUACAUAACAUACAUAAGAUAUAUAACAUAUACCAUAUAUUAUAUAUGACAAGUGCAUCUAUUUAUCUAUCUAUGAUACUGACUAUAAAAUUUAAAGUGACAUUUCACAAUUUCUGCCUGGAAUACCAUUUCUACUUGUAUAGAAGUUCAUUAAAUUGUACAGACUUUGGGUCUGGUUCAUUUGUUGUGUGGUAUUUUUAGUUAUUUGCAAGAUUUUAAUAAUAAAGUUUAUAAAGUUAAAAGAGAAAUCAUUAAAAUACAAUAUAGAAAACAACUAAUCGAGUCAAUAGAACCCAGAAUUAUGUUUUUAAAGAUAACAAAAUUGACAAACUUUUUGCUAGACUCACCUAGAAACAAAGCAAAGAGACAAAACUUCCUGAGCUGAGGGCUGGGACGAUGGCUCAGAGGAUCAGCUGCUGCCAAGCAAGCAUAGAACCAGAGUGAGGCUCCCCAGAACCCACAUAAAAUCUGUGUGUGUGUGGAGGCUUACCUCUAGUUCCAUGUCUCAGAAUACAAAAGGCAGGAGAUCCUAGCAUAUAUAGACAAGCUUUGGUUUCAUUAGAGAGACUCUGCCUCAAAGAAUAAAGUGGAGAGUGAUCAAGGAAGGCUCCUGAUGCCAAUCAUGGACAUCUAGACAUGUGCAUGUGUACACACACCACAAUCACACACAUGUACACAUUUGCACAUGUAUACAUACCACAACCACACACAUGUACACAUGUGCACCUGUAUACACACCACAACCACACACAUGUACACAUGUGCACGUGUAUACACACCACAAACACACAGGUCUACACAUGUGCACGUAUACAGAUACCACAAACACACAGGUCUACACAUAUGCACAUGUACACACACCACAAACACAUACAUGUGCUAAUCUUUAAAAGUUACUGAAUAGAAAUAAGAGGGAGAUCUUAGACACCAGCAACUCCAGAGAAAUAAAAUCAGAUUAUAAAUAGUUCCAGGUACUUUUGAGGCUAGUCCAAAGGGCAGAUUAAGCCCAGAUCUAAAUCGUCCUGGGCAGCAUCACAAGAUCCUGUCUACGGUAGUUCAGCUUUCAACAACAGAGUCUCUCUAAAACACGACUCCUAGCUACCUGUGUUCAUCAUUCCUGCAGUGGUAAUAGAUGGAAUCUUCCUCUGCUGCUGGGGAUUUCUCACUGGAGAGAUCACUGUCUCACUUAAACCCACAGUGGAUUUGAGGCUUAUGAGCUCCGAGGGCUCGUCUUGCCGGCACGACUGCCCAACUUUCCUGGAGCUUGCUUCUUGGAGCAGCUUCUGCUGCUUUCCCUGGCCAGGGAUCUGUGGGUUGAGCUGUUUUCUAUCUUCCUUCCCAGUGUCUGGAGUCUUUUGUUCUCCUCUUCUCCAGGGUCUUUCGCUUCCUUAGUGGCUUUCCAAAGCUUUCGCUCAAUUCAAACUAUCUUACCAUUUGUGCUCUGCUUUUAAGACACGGAAUCGCCAUGCUGCCCAGGAUGCUUUAGAACUCCUGGGCUCAAGCUGCGCUUUGGACUCUGCCUCAAAAGAACCUGGAGCCAUUUAUAAUCCUUUUAAUCUCACUGGAGUUGGCAGUUAAAUCUCCCUUUUAUUUCUACACAGUGGCCUUUUAAAAAGUAUGUCUAUGUGUGUUGUGUGUUGUGUGCAUGUGCAACCUUGCAAGCGGGCUGGUGUAUGUGUAUGUGUGCGUGCGUGUACACAUGCUUGCAGAGGCUGGAGGUUGACAUCCAGGUUCUUACUUGAUCCUCUCACUUUAUUCUUUUAAGGCAGAAUCUCUCGGCUGAACCUAGAGCUUGCUGAUGACUUGUCUAGCCAGGCAGCUUGCUCUGGGGGGAUCCUGUCUCCAUGUUCUAAGAGCUGGAACUACAGAUGGGCCUCCACACCCACACAGCACUUGUGUGGGUUCUGGGGACCCAAACUCUGUUCCUUAUGCUUGUGUGACAACAGCUGAUCCUCUGAGCCAUCUUUCCAGCCCUUAGCUCAGGAAUUUUGUCCAUUUGCUUUGUUCCUUGGUGAGCCUAGCCAAAGGUUUGCCUAUUUUGCUAUCUUUAAAAAAAUAACUUUGGCUUUUAUUGUUUUGACUUGCUAUUUUCUGUAUUGUAUUCCAAUGAUCAUACUCAGGUCUUCAUCUUCUGACUUCUACCUGCUUUUUCUACUACUUUUCUUGCUCAUGUUUUUCUAAUUUCUUUAAGUGGGAAGCUUCAGUUAUUGACGGGAUCAUUCUUUUCCAACACACACCAAUUUGCCCUAUAUGGGACUUUGGGGAGUGUUUUUAUUUGGGUGAGUUUAUUUAAGAUAUUUAUUUUUUAAUUUUAUGUGUAAAAGUGUUCUGCCUACAUGUACAUAUGUAUACUAUAUUAAUGCCUGUUGCCUGCAGAGGCUAUAAGAGGACACCAGAUCCCUUGGAAUUAGAGUUACAAAUGGCUGUAAAUUGCUGUGUGGAUGCUGGGAACUGAACUCUGGCUCUCUGCAAGAGCAGCAGAUGCUCAUAAAUGCUGAGUCAUCUUUCCAGCCCAUUUGUUUAUUCUCUCUCUCUCUCUCUCUCUCUCUCUCUCUCUCUCUCUCUCUCUCUGUGUGUGUGUGUGUGUGUGUAAGUGUGCAUACAGAAACGGCCCAAAUAUAGAGGUCAGAGGACAACUUUCUCUCCCUAUACCAUGGAUUCCUGGGCUCAAACCCAGCUCACCAAACUUGAGAGCAAGUGUUCCUAUCCACUGAGUCAUUCUGUCAGCCUGUUUGAGUUUUCUCAAGCAAGACAUUACUCUGUAGCUUAGAAUGGUAUUGAAUUUGCUCAUUUUCUAGUUAAUGAAAUUUAGCUGAUUCCCGAAUAUGCUGCCUUCCUUUAAUAUAUUAAGAGGCAAGGACAAGAUAUUAAGGAGGCCGUUUUCUCUGGGUCUGUCCUCUGCACUUACAGAAGAGCUGAUGAUGAUGCCGUUCUGUUUGGAGUCAUUUCUCUGACAAGCGUGUGGCUUGUUAAUGGGACUGGUUGAAGCUUGGAGACUCACAGCUAGAGAGGUGAAGGAAGGAUCAUAAUACAAGUAGGACAAGUGUGCUCACGGGAGACCUCGACCUCCCCAGUCUCUUUGAGAAGUUGAUAGUACAUUCCCCUUCUUUGAAGUCUCACAACACUUCACUCAUAAUAGACACACCAAGGGCACAGAAGUCUCUUUUUAUCCUGAAGUGAUUUUGAUCCUUUGAUUCUGGACAGCUUAGGAAAUUCUCAGAUGAAUAUAAUAUGUACUUCCAGAAAAUCCAGACAAAAUGAUCUUAGACCAAGGAAACUACAGAUUUAGUUAGCAUGAGAGGCUUAUGUAGACUUACGGGGGAAGCCAGAGAGAGUUUUUAUAGCUCUAGAUUCUAUGUAGGUCCUUUGUACAUCCAACAGUCCAAAUUAUACUUAGCUCUGCAAUCCCUUGGUGAGGAAGGAACACCCUUAUGCACGUUCUUAAUCAGCUUUGAUGGGUCCUGUGCCUUACAGGGAUGGAAUAAGAACAAAAGACGCUUCCUGUAGCUAGAUUAAUAGAGAACAGGUCUGCAGAGGCAGGAAGAGGGUUUUGGAUCCCCUGGAGCUGGAGUUAUAGGUAGCCAUGAGCCAUCUGAUGUGGGUGCUGGGAAUUAGCCUUAGGUCCUCCUCUGCAAGCACAGCAAGUGCAGUUAGCUGCCAAGUCACCUUGCAGGCCCCAGAUUCCGACUUCUAAUAAAAGCUGCAAGAACUAGGAGGGUGUGCUAGGAUGAGUGAUCCUCUAGGUCACAAGCAGGCUGUAGGGCAUUGUUACCCCAGAAAACAAACCGGGGUGAACGCCAGGGCAGCAUUCCGGUCCUGUAGUAUUUCUGUGGUCAAGCACAGAGAUCAUAGAUCUGAAAAGACAGACCCUGAGCUGGCAUGGGGUAAGGCUUAAGUGACAGUUCAUAGUUUAGGGAGAGAUAUGGAACCGAGUGAGUGAUUUACCACAAGUGACUUGGACAGCCUCUUUCCAAGGCCCCCGAGUACUGCAAUAUUUUUCCUCAAAGAAGCCUUCCCUUUCACAUGCAUAACCAAACUGCGUGAAUUUCAGUGCUGAUAAAACCUAGAUCAACAUGAUAAACGUUUACAAGUAACGAUGACAAGAUGUUGUGAUAAAGUAUCAGGAAGGGAUUCCUACAGUUUUAUGGAAGCACCGAGCAAAGGGCUUCUGCUCAAGGAGGCACGUGACAAUGAUGCCUGACAGGCAGGGGGCGCUGUUCCCUUCAUUAACCACAUGCAUCCUAUUCCCGUUGUUCGGGGGUGGGGUGGGGGGUUCCCCUGGCAUACAGCAAGUAGCCGUUAGACAUUUUGUUGAACAAAUAAGAGUGUGUUGUGCAAGGACUAGUGACAUGCUGGAGUCACUGGUGGUGGAUGGUGUGGCUGGAGAAGAGGUUGGGAGGGACCAAAGAUUCCUGUGUGUGUCAUACUGUGCUCAGGUUUGGAACCGCCCUGCAGGCUCUAGCUACUCUCCUGAAAUCUUUCAGUCGGGACAUUGUAACCUAACUGGCUUUAGAAAGAUCAUCCUAGAACCGAAUGACGUUCGAGUUAGGAUAGUAAUACAGCAGCCCGGGAGUAUUUGGAGCAGAGCAGGAGAGGCACAGCAGACUUAGCUGCCGCUGAGCCCAGUCACAGACUUAGGAGUUCAAUUGUUCAUUCCUUGAGCACCUGUUAUGUUUCAGGCUGUGUGUCAACUGCUAAGGUUAGACCAGUCAGAGCACUUACUGCUUUGGCGGAGGACCUAGGCUCAGUUCUCAGCACCAUACCUAUGAGGCAGCUCACAGCCGCCUGUAACUCUAGCUGCUGGGAAUCUGAUACCUUCUGGCCUCCAUAGGCACCUCACACAGGUACAUACACAUACACAUAAGUAAAAAUAAUAAAUAUUAAACUCAUUAAAUAAGGCCCCUGCUUGAAGCCUAUCAGAAGUGUAGACAAGUGAGCUGGCAAGGGCAGCCUUGCCUUGUGGUGAGUGCCAGGAGAGAGAACGUUUAAGGUUUUCUAGGGAUGCACAGGAGAGAGGAUGUGUAAAGCUAAAACCUAGACAAGUGAAGUUCUGGUGUGGUACAGGAGAAGCUGGAGGAGUUCUGGUUGUUCAAGGCCAAGGACUCUGGACUGUGGACUGUAUAGUCAUUGCCGGAGCCACGGCCUCUCAUGGAACUCAUGGGAGAGAACGAUUGGUCUAAGAAGCCAACUGGACACCAGGACAGAGGUGAAAGGUUUAGGGACAGGGAGUUCACAAGAGAGGCCAGAGCUGAAGAUUGGGAGCAUCAAUGUAGUUCUUGACGCUGCGGCUAUACUUGUGAUCACUUGGGCAGUGUAGAUAGAGAGAGAGACACUGAAAAAGAUCAAGGACACAUUCUUCUAAGGAGCUGGGGAAGCUGCAAAGUCUUGGCAAGAGACUCAGGAGUAACUGAGGGAAGAGGGAAGGACUGGGAGAAUAUGAAGCCAGAAAACAACCAGAAGUAGGAAGCAGAAGACACAGGGAGGCAGAGACAGCACGGGGCAGCCAAGCUGAGCUCUUGCUGACUCUCAGCAGCAAUGCUAUUUUGGGGAGUGCAUCGGUAGGGGGUGUGCCGGAGACAGAAGCUAGUGCCUUCCUCUAAGCAAGGACUAUACCACCGAACAUCACAGUGAGCCACACUGACCCCCCUUCAAUGGUUUUCUGAGACAAUCUUGGAAGGCAAACAGAGGUAAUAUCACAUGCCUGGAUGGAUGCGGAGAACGUCUGAAGGCUGCCCUACGGAGUUGGAAAUGCUAAGGAUGGAGUUUAUCUUCAACUCCAGGCCUUGUGACAUGGCAACAUGACUACGUGCUUGUAUCUGUCAUCUGGAAAGAACCGAGCUGCUGCCCUGCAUACCAUGACCGAGGCAUCCGGAACCUCAUAGCAACCCUUCUCCUCACUGUGUAUUUUGAGAAUCCAAAUAACACGAACUCCAGUGCUGUCUUUCGUGAUUUAAAACACAAAGGACAACUCAUGAACGUGACUCAGGCUUUAUAAACGAAAAAAGAAAUCAUAGAUGCCUAGCUAACGGCCGUGGUAACCUCUCUGGGCUUCUGUUUUAGAAGUAAAGCCAAUCUAUGAUGAAGUUUCAUAAGUCAAGUGCUUACUAUAAAGCUGAACAUAGCUUUUCAAUGAGUGUUUGCCAUUUAAAAUUCUGCUAGAGGGCUGGAGAGAUAGCUAAUCAAGUCAAGAGCACUGGCUGAUCUUUCACAGGACCCAAGUUCGAUUCCCAGGACCCAAGUUUGAUUCCCAGAACCUGUUGGCAGUUUACAAUCACCAAUAACUCCAGUCCCAGGGGAUUCAACACUCUCUUCUGGCCUCUGCAGGCACCAGGAAUUAAUGCAGUAUACAGACAUGCAUGCGGACAGACAUCCAUAUACAUAAAAUAAACAAAUUUUAAAAAAUUCCCUGAGAAAAUAUGUGUAAGAAGUUUAUUUUCCUAGUCCUCACUUAACUGUGUUAAUAUAUCUGAAUUUGGAUAAAGAGUUAUAUAGAUUUGAGGCUGGAGAGAUGGCUCAGUGGUUAAGAAUUGCUCUUGCAGAGGACCUGGGUUCAAGUCUUAACACUCACAUUGUGUGGCUUACACAACUUUUUGUAAACACAACUUUGUGACUCUAGCUCUAGGGGUUCCAACUUAACCUUCUUGGGUACUGGUGCUCACAUGCACAUGCCUACACAUAGACUCAUGCACAUACACAUAACUAAAAAUACUACAAAAGAGUCAUACAGAUUUUCAUUUGCUUAUUCUGUAAUAUUUAGUGAAUGGCUUCCAUUUAUCAAACAUUGUUCUUGCAGCUAGGAUACAGUAAUGAAGGCCACAGGAAGCCCUGCCCUCAGGAAGCUUGUCUUCUGGGGUGGGAGUCAGGGCUGAUGUUAUCAUAGUGUAUAUGUCCCUGUCCCAGGCUAGCUCCUUCAUAGCUUAGAGAGAACUAGCCUGGGACAGGGAACAGGGAAGCAGUGAUAAGUGCAUAUUAGAAAAUGUGCAGAUUAACUUUUCAUUUUGUUAUAUAGUCUAGUAUCGACAAGCUGUUUAUAUUUAAAAAGAACAUUUUACCUAUAUUUACCUAUUUUACCUUAAAACAUUGUGAUGGUUUGAAUUAAAAUGGUCCUAUAUGCAUA